UGCAGCCCACCCUGCUCCGAGGCACUGCUGAGUGAAGGAACUGCGGGAUGCACAUCUCAGGUAAACAAGAUGUCAAGAGCACAUUGCACCUGGGCAAAAACCUUUUAAUUUCUCCACUUUGUUUAUAACCCCCUUGCACCAUCUCUCUAAGAAGAGCAAUAAGACCAUUUUAUUGGUGAAUAUGCAAGGCAACAGCAAUAUUAAAUUAUUCUGAGACCUUCGACAGAAAAGAGCUGUUACUGGCCUGUAAAUGAAAAAGAUGUUUUUCAUUACAAGUCUUUCUUUCAGGAGUUUCCCUUCCACCUGGAACUUACACAGCUCACACUCACCAAUAUUUUGGAGUUACUAAUCCAUUUAGAUUUUUCUGUAAACUGCAUGAAACUUUGGGAGCAAGUUGGGUUUGAGUGUCUGGUGUUAUUAAUAAUUUAUGCUUCACACAAAAAAAAUAAAAUUGAUCCAAAGCAUCCUGGAGAGGCCAAUCCAUGCUGCCUCUGUGAUCAGCUGAGACACAAAUUAGAUGUGAGGAAUGAAUGGAAAUAUAUCAUGGAGAAAAGCUGCACAGACCCAUUCCAAGCCAGGAGGUGCAGAGCUGGUGAGGGCUGUCAAAGGGAAGAGCACGGUGUCCUUUGAAGCCCGGUCGUGGAGACAAGGAUGUGGGAAAAGAUCCUGCAGCAAAAAGUGGUCAAAAGUUCUUAAGAGGAGGACGAGAGCAGCUCUGUUUCCUGAAGGCAGCACUCCAGAUCAAACAGCUCUUUGUGGAAAUGUUCAAAAACAAUCCAAACCACCUCAUCCUGGGUUAAAGAUGAGCUCCAGUACCUGGGGCUGGAUGGGAGGUCAAAGGAGGAGCACUGGGGGACAGCAGUAGAUGCUGAGGCUGUGCUGGAGCUGUGAGAUGGACCUGUUGUGUCAAAGGUAAGAGUUUAUAUUUUCUCCUAAGAAAGAGAAAUGUUCAGAAAGAAAUCCCUAACGGAGUUUGUGAAGCAUUUGCUGAGCUUUAAUUUCAUCCUGGAUACACUGAUACAUCCUUUGUUUCUCUUUGUUACUCUUGUGUUUAAAGUAACUUCUACUAGAAGUCGCACAUAUCUGACCCAGAAAUACAAGAAUUUCACAGUCUCUGAGGAAAUGUGCUGAAGGGAGGUUUUCUGGAGCUUUUCAGCUGGGAAUGAAACCUUCUGCCCAUUUGUUUACCACAGAGGGAGCCCAGGAAAAGGACAAAGUGCUGGAGUGGAGGAGGUGGUGCAGAGGUCACUGCAGGCACCUGCUGUUUCUGGAAGUUUCUGUUUUGAGGUAUAUGCUGACUUUGGACAGGUUCAGUGCCUUCAGCAGCUUUUGCAGGGUGCCAGUUCCACAAUCUGGUUUAACAAAGGCCACUAGUCCAGGAACCUCUUCCAUGGGACCCACAUGAAAAACAGGAGUUGGAGGAGCAGAGUGAAGGAAGGGAAUGCUGGAGCCUGGCUGAGACUCUGGAGGUCUCUGCAGUGGUUUUGCACAAGUUGUCUAGAAAAAGGACAAAGUCUCCUGGUUGAGAAUUCGUGGCAUGAAGGUCUGAGCAAGAGGAACUGUACUUUCCUUUGCAUCACUGGCAUUUCAGCCCAGAGCUCUCCCACAUCUCAUAAGCUGCUUUGAGCCCAUGCAGUACACAGAGUGGAAAAAAAAAAGAAUUGAAGAAGCAAAAAUAAAUAUUAAAGCACGUAAGAAUUAAAUAUCACCUAUUCAAAUAGCAAUUAUGCCGUUGAAAACAAGAUCACCACACCUGUACAAGAAAAGACAACCAAGCCUAAAACAUCUGUUUGGAUCCACCUGCCAAGCACCUGUUCUGCUGUUUCAAUGCCAUUUGAUUGCUGGAGAUGUAGAGGCUCUUGUGAGGUUUCUUGCACAGUUGUUUGCUUUGUGCUGAUGGAAGAUGCUGCAGAGUCAGGUCUUUAUCCACAGACCAGUUUCCACACCGGGAACUGCGGGAUAAAUCAGCCCAUGCUCCUCAUCAUGGAGAAUUCAGCAGCUGCUUGGGAUCAUCUCCCAGAGAUGAAGGAGAUGUGGAAGUCAAACUGAGAGGCUGCAGCAUCCCCUCUGCCUCUU